rnacentral:lncRNA from 1 species
AAGAAGCUAGAGGGGGAACAUAUAAACCAAUAGGAGACAUCAAAUAGAAGUUAACAUAAAUGCAUGCUGUUGAGAUUUGUGUAAAAACACACCCAAUCCAUACAUUGUACUCAUGAUUCGAGUCCAGCCUCAAACGAUUGCACUGGAAGUUGCAUAAAUUUCUACAGCAGCCAACAAGUGGAGAUGGGAAGAAAUCUGGUUUUUUUCUUUCCAUUUUUUG